AAGGCCAUAGCUCAGUGAUAGAGCACUUGCCUUGCAUGCCAAGUGCCCUGGGUUCAAAUUCCAAUGGCAUCU